GAUGAACGCUGGCGGCGUGCCUAAUACAUGCAAGUCGAGCGAACGGACGAGAAGCUUGCUUCUCUGAUGUUAGCGGCGGACGGGUGAGUAACACGUGGAUAACCUACCUAUAAGACUGGGAUAACUUCGGGAAACCGGAGCUAAUACCGGAUAAUAUUUUGAACCGCAUGGUUCAAAAGUGAAAGACGGUCUUGCUGUCACUUAUAGAUGGAUCCGCGCUGCAUUAGCUAGUUGGUAAGGUAACGGCUUACCAAGGCAACGAUGCAUAGCCGACCUGAGAGGGGGAUCGGCCACCCUGGAACUGAGAACCGGCCCCGAUCCCUACGGGAGGAAGCAGGAGGGAAUCUUCCGAAAUGGGCGAAAGCCUGACGGAGAAACGCCGCGGGAGUGAUGAAGGUCUUCGGAUCGUAAAACUUUGUUAUUAGGGAAGAACAUAUGUGUAAGUAACUGUGCCAAUCUGGCCGGUACCUAAUCAAAAAGCCCCGGCUAACUCCGU
rnacentral:rRNA from 1 species